rnacentral:rRNA from 1 species
GUCUUGUAAUUGGAAUGAUGGGAAUUUAAACCCCUUCCAGAGUAUCAAUUGGAGGGCAAGUCUGGUGCCAGCAGCCGCGGUAAUUCCAGCUCCAAUAGCGUAUAUUAAACUUGUUGCAGUUAAAAAGCUCGUAGUUGAAUUUCUGCUGUUUCGUUGACUGCGUUUGGCGUUUGUCAUCGUUGCGGCUUGGUUGGGUUUCGAUUAUUCGUUUCCCGGCGUUUACUUUGAGAAAAUUAGAGUGCUUGAAGCAGGCUUUUGCCUUGAAUACUUUAGCAUGGAAUAACGGAGUAGGAC